AUCUACCUUUAGGAAUAGAAUAACAGCUGGAAACGGCUGCUAAUACUGUAUAUGCUGAGAAGUAAAAUGGGUUUCCGCCUAGAGAUGAGCUUGCGUCUGAUUAGCUAGUUGGUAAGGUAAAAGCUUACCAAGGCGACGAUCAGUAACUGGUCUGAGAGGAUGAUCAGUCACACUGGGACUGAGACACGGCCCAGACUCCUACGGGAGGCAGCAGUGAGGAAUUUUCCGCAAUGGGCGAAAGCCUGACGGAGCAAUGCCGCGUGAAGGAUGAAGGCCUGCGGGUUGUAAACUUCUUUUCUUACAGAAGAAAUUGACGGUAUGUAAGGAAUAAGCAUCGGCUAACCCUGUGCCAGCAGCCGCGGUAAUACAGGGGAUGCAAGCGUUAUCCGGAAUGAUUGGGCGUAAAGCGUCUGUAGGUGGUUUUGAAAGUCUAUUGUCAAAAACCAAGGCUUAACCUUGGACCGGCAAUGGAAACUUCAAGAAUAGAGUACGGUAGAGGUAGAGGGAAUUACCGGUGUAACGGUGAAAUGUGCAGAUAUCGGUAAGAACACCAAUGGCGAAAGCACUCUACUGGGCCGCAACUGACACUGAGAGACGAAAGCUAGGGGAGCGAAUAG
rnacentral:rRNA from 1 species